rnacentral:rRNA from 1 species
UACGUAGGGUGCGAGCGUUGUCCGGAAUUAUUGGGCGUAAAGGGCUCGUAGGCGGUUUGUCGCGUCGGGAGUGAAAACCAGGUGCUUAACACCUGGCUUGCUUUCGAUACGGGCAGACUAGAGGUAUUCAGGGGAGAACGGAAUUCCUGGUGUAGCGGUGAAAUGCGCAGAUAUCAGGAGGAACACCGGUGGCGAAGGCGGUUCUCUGGGCCGAUACGGACGCUGAGGAGCGAAAGCGUGGGGAGCGAACAGG